AAGUCGUAAUAAGGUCUUCGUUAGUGAACUAGUAGAAGGAUUAUUACUAAGUCCUAGUAGCUCCUAAACUAUACGAACUUACUAUGUCGUCGCCUUAGCGGGUAGCUCUAAGGUAAAGCCUACGCCCCCUAAAGGGGAGUACCCGCUAUAAGCUCUAAGACCUUGUUAUAUCUUAGCCCCUCUAAGUCUUACGGCGUGUAAACGCUUAGUUAUAACCUUUAAUAACGGAUCUCUUAGCUUUAAU
rnacentral:misc_RNA from 1 species